UUGGCAAAAUAUCGAAUGGGACGGGAGAUUCAUGUAAAUUGUAACUUAUCCAUAAAGUUGUAUUUGAAGGGCAAAUGCACACUGGGAAAUGUAGUUCUGGGGGACAAUGUGUUGGUACGGUCUGUGGUCAGUGCUGAAGUGAAACAGAACAACGUGUUUAUCAGCUGGAGAGUUGCUGCCGAGAUGACACAGAAUAAGAGCGACGGGCAAGCUUCAGAGGAGAGCUUUACUAUGCAUGGUAUUCAGAUGGCUUCAGAGAAUGGGGAAAUGAAGGAGCAGCAAACUCCUAGUAAGGAACAGCACUCCCCCAAUGAGGAACAACAGUUUAUACCCGUGGAGCUUCAAUCACCAGUCGAACUGCCUUCUCCUAUAGAGGGAAAGGAGAGUCCACCUGAGGAGUACAAACAAUGGAAAUUUCUGCUCUUCUACCUGUGUGUGUAUGGUUUCAUGACUCAGCUGCGUCCUGGAGAAAGCUUCAUAACCCCAUACUUACUGAGCCAGGAGAGGAAUUUCACAAAAGAGCAGGUUACCAAUGAGAUCACGCCGGUGCUGAGUUACUCAUACAUGGCUGUCCUUGUGCCAGUCUUUCUUCUCACUGACUAUUUGCGUUACAAGCCUGUGCUGAUCCUGCAGAGUUUAAGUCACAUCUCCGUGUGGUUGCUGCUCAUCUUUGGCACUGAUGUAAUUGCCAUGCAAUUUAUGGAGUUCUUCUAUGGUAUCACCAUGGCAGCUCGGGUCGCUUAUUCUUCUUACAUAUUCUCCCUGGUGUCGCCAACGAAUUAUCAGCGGGCAGCAGGGUACUCACGUUCCUCAGUACUUAUGGGUGUUUUUGUAAGUGCUGUACUUGGGCAGCUGUGCAUCAGCUUGGCUGGUGUACCAUUCAGAACCCUAAAUUACAUAUCUUUGGGCUUUAUGAUACUUGGGCUUUUCCUUACCUUAUUUCUACAAAGGCCGAAAAGAAGUCUUUUCUUUAAUAAAAGUACUUCUAAGCAGCAGAAUGGCAUUCACCUUUUUGAGGAGCAAAAAGCAAAUACUGGAGCUAAAGCUGGGGGUCUCUGCUCUGGAUGGAGAGAUUUUGUGAUUAUACGUAUGCUCAUGGAACUUAAAGGAGCUGUACGUCACCCCCGACUUCGACUGUGGUCACUGUGGUGGAUAUUUAACUCUGCUGGCUAUUACCUAAUGCUAUAUUAUGUGCAGAUUUUAUGGAACACAAUCUACCCUGCCACUGAUAAUAAAAAAGUGUACAAUGGUGGUGUUGAUGCAGCGUCCACACUCCUUGGAGCCAUCACAUCUUUUGCUGCGGGACAUAUAAAGAUUCGAUGGAAUCUGUGGUCAGAAUUGGUCAUUGGGCUGGUGACUGCUUUUCAGGCAGGGCUUCUUUUUCUUAUGAACACAACAGAUAAUAUUUGGGUGUGCUACGUAGCCUACAUACUUUUUAGAAGUUCAUACCAGUUCCUGGUUCCCAUAGCCAUCUUCCAGAUUGCUAGUAAUUUAUCCAAAGAGCUUUGUGCUUUAGUAUUUGGAGUAAACACAUUCUUUGCCACCAUCCUGAAAACCAUAAUUACUAUCAUCAUCGCUGACAAAAGAGGUCUGGCUCUCUCGGUACACCCACAGUUUUAUGUCUACUUUGCAUACUUUACCGUGUUGGCUGUGCUGUUCCUGGGGGCCGCUGCUUUGGUCAUUAUCCGGCAUUAUCAUGCAGAAAGGCUGAAAGACAAACCUCAAAUCCCUCCAAAAGCUGAAACUGAGCAGAAAACUACAUCCAGCAGUGCAGCCAUAUGUGAAUCCAAUGCAUAACUCCUGGCAUAGACCCACAAUAGGAAGCCAAGGAGUCCCAUUCUCUGCACAAGAAUUGUAUGUUCUUCAAGCUUUGGGAGAACAAUUUUAGGAUUAGUGAGACUGGGUUGCACUAAGUUACUGAACCACACAGCACCGGGCCUUUAAUUUGUUCAUGGAGAAGGGGAUCUAUUCCACACAAAUUUACUAAAACUGUGCAUUAUACAAGACUAUCACUUUCAGUUGCUCAAGUGCCUUAGGCUGCUUUAGGAUUCUGCAAGCUGUAGUUUACCAGCAUCUGGAGGGCCUACAGACUUCCAAGGAAGUUCCCCUGUUACACAUGGAGUAUUCAGUAUAGGUGUGUGUGGUUCCCCUUCACCGAAUGCCUUGAUUGCUAAUGAUCAAUGGUCAGAAGUUGCUAGAUGGAGGUUUAAGGAAAACUGCAUAACGGACUUGUUUAUUGAAAGCUUGCAACAUAUUUUCUUUGGUCAGCUAUUAAACCCAUAACCUCCUGGUCCUUUAGCAAUUCUGUUAAUUGCAACAGUUACAUGUUCACUGAUCUACAGAAAUGGCAGAGGCAAUAUUUAUAGUGCUGAAGGGAGCUUCUCUUUUCAUAUGAACAUAUCGCAAACAGUUUUGUGCCUUAAAAUCAUCUGUGGUAAAAGAAUCAGCAAGGGAUUUAAAUUUACACACAGUAGAAUGCUGCUGUAUUUUAGCAAAAAGUGUAUUCCCUACUACACCAUAUGUCUCCCUUUAAUGUAAAAUGUAUAGUAUCUUCUAUUAAUGUAGGAAUCUAAAGAAAGGUAACUUGCCAAUACAGCAUUUUUAGCUGUCCAUUUCAAUGGGAGCUUAUUUGGAAGCCUUGCAAGAACUCUAUGAAACAGUAUCCUUAAUCACAGUGGCCAAAUGAUAAAAGCUGGUAGGAUAAUAUUAUGUCACUAGACAUUAAGCCCGUUAAAUUAACGGGUGCUAGAACAUAUGUAGUCAAACAUUUAUAAAACCCCAUUUUAGAGUUUAAAUUCGCCAGAGACGGUCCGUGGGGCACAUGCGCAGUAGCGCAAUCCCACGGACACAGGGACUGGACGCAGAGACACUUCAACUUUAUUAAAUAGGAAUAUACAGGAUAGGAUAUUAUAUAGGAUAUAUAUAUAUAAAUAGUAUAGGUGCGACACACACGCACUGCUUCCCUAUCAUCUGUCCCAGGGAGCGUCGGAAUUACAACUCUCACAGUACAGCACUAAGUUGAGAUAGAAAACAUGAGCACGCCCUGCCUCAGAACACAGUAACGUGCCGCCUGUGCCCCUUCAGCCUGUGGCAGAGACUAUUUGCCGCACAGUUUGAUGCACUGCAUGACGGUGCCAGGGCCCAAUCCCCACCCGCUUCACUAAUCGCCCCACCUACCUUACAGAGCCGAAGGCACCGGAACCGACGGGGGUGAGACGCUGGUACCGCUCCGGCACUUCCCACACCGUCUUGUUCAGCUCUUGCUUGUAGAGUCCAACGCGCCCGCUCAUCUUGUCCGGAAGGGAGGAGUUGGGAAAGGAGGGAGGAGCCAGGGGCGGAGGAACGGCAGGUGGAUGGAUAGCGCGUUACCAGUGCCUAAUACCAUAUUACGGUUUGACUGAAGUUCUCAGCGCCGCCUCCCCGCACUGCCUGUCUUAAUUACAGCACAAACCAACUCCUGUGGGGUUGCAGGUCACAGCUCAGGCCAUUUUUGUGUGCGGUCCGUGGGGCACAUGCGCCGUAGCGCAAUCCCACGGACACAGGGACUGGACGCAGAGACACUUCAACUUUAUUAUAUAGGAUAGUUCAAUGGUACUGCCGGCAAAACACUUCUUUAUACUGUAUAUAAUAUGAAAUAAU